AUUGAUAUUUAUUUUUUUUAAAGAACUUAGUUAUGUCUCCAUUGGUAUCUAAAUUAUGUUCAAAUCUGUGGGUACCGUGGUAGGAAUGGCUGUUUUUUCUCCGUCUUGGAAGAGGUUAACAUCUCAAACUGAGCGUUUGUUUUAUUGCUUUGGAGCAGCAUUGACUUAGAGCAGUGAGUGCAUAGCAUGUCUGAGAGGCAGAUCUAGAGCCUGUGUGUUUGACGGCCAAGAAAGAGACGUGCUGUGACCUACCAGGGUGGUAUAGUGACUUCUGAGCAGCACAUGGAAACUGUGUGGUUGAGGUUCCAAUGCUCAUCUGUAAACUGAAUGCAUUUUUUUAUUGACGGUAUUAGUAUUGCAAUUUCCAUUGUUGCUUAACUUUUGGAAAUAAAGCAGAAGUUGAAGGAGUUGAUUCCUAAAGUAAGAACCAUGCUGUCUAGGUCAUGGUUGCAUGAACAGGUGAGCUGCCAGAGUGAGUUGGUGCUCCCUAUGCAUCUUUAUGUCUCUGUCAGGUUCCUGACAGUUUGGCAAACGAGUUAAAUACAGUGGCAGAGAGUGUUACAACUUUUUCUUCUGUGUUGCUUUCCUAUGCUGUGCUGGUAAGAUAAAUUGGCAUAUGGAUGUCAGCACCAGUGCUGGGGGAAAUGCACUAGAAGGAGAAAGGCUUAUGACAAAUUAAUGUGGAACUCCUUCCCCUCUCCUCCAAGGAUUAGCAUCCUGUGAAGCUGUACCCCUAGGGCUCUUUGAUGAAAGAGAAGCUGAUACAACCUGUAACCACGGGGCCAAUAUAAAGAUAGGAUCAAGAAUGCACAGCUGCAGCUGAAGAUGGUUGUGAGCAGCCUGGCAUUUUGAGAACCAGUGCUAAGCUUGUUGGUCCAGGGCUAAUCAGAACUGCAUGUAUUGGUUCUGGGCACUCUUUAUCUGCUCUUCACAAACUGGUUGCUCCUUCUGUGGUGGCACCAUCAUGGUGUUAGCUGAGGGAGGAAGAGAAGCUGCCUUUCCUAAGAUGCUGUGCAGCUCUGAUGUCAUAACUCUAGCAUUCAGAAAGAACAACAAGUGGAUAGGUCUUGCUUUUAAAUCCAUCUUAUAUUUCAGGAGGUUUACAGGAAUAGCAAUGGAAUGGUCUUUCUCCCAAGAUUAUCUUCCCAUUAGUUUACCCUUUUUUAUUGCAGGGCUGCAGAAUGUCAGUUCUGUGAAGUACAAUAGCAGAAUUCCUGUAGGAGUUUUAAAAUCUGAAGUAACCUGUAUUUCUCUUCCCAGGGAAGUGGCUGAGAACUUCUCACCACAACAAUGCUUGAGAAAUUCUCGCCUUGGUAAACAUAUUGGACAGUUGUAUCAGUCUAUACUUUAGCUAUUUCAAUUUAAAACAAGGCUUUCUCUAAGAAGGUCAAUGAAACUACUUUUCUUUUGAUACUGCAUCCUUGUGGAUGCCUGCAUAGUUCUUCUGUAAGAGAAGUUUUACUGGAUGAGUCAGUGCACUGAGUCAUAGGCAGCAUGAAGCCUGUAGUGCUCUAGACUAAUUGGUAACAGUUUCAAAUUUAAUUAAAGCACAGUUGUCAGCUCUGCGUUACUGAUUGACAUCCCAGUAAAGUAUUUUGUUUUCUGGCAACUCACAUUAAUUGUUCUCUGUUUGUGUGGUUUAGGAUCCUCUUAAUGUUGAAUAGUUCUGCCAUUACUGUUAUCAUCUCUGUGAUUCUUGAUUUCUGUACUUCUCUUGGAAUUUUUUUUUCUUGUUAGGUAACAUUUUCAGUAAUUAUGCGCUUUAACCUGCUUGUGACUUUACAGAUGUGUAGAGUCCUUUGGGGAUUUUUUUUCUUAGCAUUUCCAUGUUUUCUAACUUCAGCUCUUCCCAAAAUUCUGUAAGCGUGAUGCAAAAUUCAAAGAAAAGGAAAAAAUAAAAUAGUAAUUUUUGUUGACUUGCAGAUCAUGUGUGCAGUUGUGAUAGUUUGUACUUCUAACAUUUGUCUUGUACCUUGAUUUAACAUAACAGAUGAUUCUGGUUAUCCCAGCAUGUGCUGUCUUCUACAGAUGCUGAUGUGAUGGUGGUUUCCAGUGACUGGGGAUACUGGGACAGAUGGAGCCUUUCUCCCUUUUCUUCAGUUUCUUUGUAUGUGAUUCUUUACUUCCUCAAGGAGCAUAAGGGAAGAGCUGUGUUGGAAGAAAAGAGGUGAUGCCUCGAAGCUCUGUAUAUCUUUCAUUAAGGGAAGGUGUUCAGGGUGUUAGGUCAAACGUGGUCAGGAUGUGAUUGUAUUUUUAGUUUUUAUUUUAUUCUUAAUCACUUCCACUGGUUUUGUUUUUAUUUAUUAAAUCUAUUGGCGCUGUGCAUGAAUCCUGGUUUCCCCAGCUGUGAACUGAAGAAGGAAAACUUGAAUGACUUGUAAUGCUCUGUGCAACUGAGUUUCUUUUAAAGCCUUUGAGAUAAUGUUUCCAUUGGUAAUAAAUACUGAAGCUUGGAGGAUGGAGAAAUUAAUUUCUAGAGACCAAAUAAGGAAGUAGAUGUUUUGAGUACCUGUGUCUUUUUUUUUUUUUUUGUCUUGACCAAUUUCUCCUCCCUUACAUGCAUUUAGAUAUAAAGAUCUUUCUAAACCAGAAGACUAUCAGAAAUACACUGCAGAUUUACAUUCAGAAGUACACCUGACCAGAUUUGCAGUUGCUGCUGGUGCCCAACAACAGGUGCUAAUGGAAGUGUUACAAGCAAUUGCGUUAGGAAAUGAAUAAGCAUCCUGCACCUUUAAGUCCUUGAGGGGCAGAAAAUAAAAACUGUGGGUUCCAUUCAUGUUGGAUGCAUUUUUGACUGACAUAGUCUUUUUUUUAUCCACAUUGGAUCUCUUUGAAUUCAAUUUUAGCUCUCUCCCUUCAACAUGAUACCCACAGUUCCAAUAUUUGCAUGAAAAGCACUUUAUUUGUUCUAACUUGAUGCCUGAUAUCAUCAGGUUCUCUGAGCUCUUGUAUUCAGAGAUAAGUGAAUCAUACAGUCUGCUCCAGCUGUAUGAAAGCAAUGUUAAUAGUCCUCUGUUGAAUAGCUGAAGGCUUUGGAUGUUGUAUUGGACCAGAGAUGUGUGUCCUAAGGAGUCUAAGCACAGUUUUGUAUGAAGCAGCAGUGACUGAAGGUUUUCUGGUCUCUCCUAAAAUGAUACUCAGUAAUUUAGUGACUGUUGUAACCUGUUUUGUACAUUAACAGUGGUAGUAGCAUGUUCAGUGAUAAAGUUAUGUGACCUGAUGUCUAUAAGUGGUGGCUUCUUGGACAUACACAGUGUUGUUCACAUAGUGUUGGCUAUAUAGUUAACAGUGGUAUUAGUUUCCUAUUUCUGUUUUCUGCAAACAAUUUUUACAUACAAAUACCCAGGUUUUUGUUUUUAGUUUCUCAGACUUCAGGCCAAGUUAUUGCUGGUUAAAAUCUGUCUAUUUUAUACUGGUACACUGAAGAUGAAGAAAUAAGACUUAUAACUUGUUAAUGGGGUUUCUGCAUCUCAGUACAAAAGUCCAGAGCACCUCCCUACCAGUGACAUAGAUUUCAUUUUCUGUACAGAGAGGAAAUAAUUGAGAAUAUUUUCAUAUUCUGUUUAAUGUAUGUUUUUUUUAAUGUGCAGGACAAUGCUUCCUUCAUAAUGCAAACAAAUAACUAGUGGUGAUAGGUACUAUGUUUGAUUUCAUGCAGUAUUUAGUGAAAUAUUCGUGGAUUGUUUUCUGCAUUGAUGUUUUCCAUGUUACAGCCAAUGGUUUUGCUUUGCUAUGGUUAUCUUGUACCAAAAUUGUACAGAAGUUCUUUCAGUUUACAUAGUUCUUCUAAUCAGGUUUGGAAAACAUUGUCAAUACAUGGCAUCAGAAACAGUACUCCUGAGGUAUGUGUUAAUCUCUUGUCUGCUGGUACAGAAUAACUGGAGAAUUAAGAUGUAAUUUCAGCAAAUGUUAUGCAAGAUUUCUGACCUGACCAUAUUGAGUAAACACGAUUAAGUGCUCAGAGGAUGCUAGAGCUGGCAUUUAGAAAAUCUGAAAGAUAAAAUGUAACACCUACUAAGGCAUGGAACAAACAAGUAAGGUACCAAUUUUAGAAUAAUUUCAGAGGCUGUAGUAAUGUAACAGUUCAAUAAGGAGGAUUGGAAACAUGCUCUUAGCCCCGUGAUCUUUAUGGCUUUGUGAGAUCUCCUGACUGACUUUGAAAUGUCUUUGUUUUUCUCUCAGCAAGUCAGAUUGUUUGCUGUAGUUUGUAAUAGGUUAAUAAUAGGUUAAAAUAAAUAUAAAAGUGUGUGUAUAUAUGUAAGUAAAAUAAAUGUAUAUAAAGUAGAAGAGUGAAAUAACUCCUCUUAUAACAUGCUACUACAGGUAGGACUUGCCUCAUAAACAGAGUGUCUUGCCAUGAUUUGCAGUUAAGUAUGCUGCCUCUCUGUAGCUUUUGGUGAGAACUUGCAGUAAUAUCUGUUGAAAUGCAAUAGAAUUGGUUGAAAUGUUUAACUAAUUGCUUGCAACUUUAAUGUAAAAUACAGUUUAUUUUGCACUUGAUGUGCUUAUUUAUUCUUUUUGUAAUUAACAUCUGGAUUUUUUUUGAAAAUAAAAGCAAUAAUGCAAAGCCAGGUUUGCCUUGCUUAGUCAUGACAUUGCAUGCUGUGAUUUCUAGCAUUGCGUGCUAUCUUAAAAUACCUCCGUAAUACAAAUGAGAAUGCUGUUCGCAUUAAAAUGAAAGCGAUGAUUGUUCAGUACACAAAUUAUGUAUGCGUGUUUUUUUUUCAGUGACUGAUGUCAACUCUGCAAGCACUUUAAGCAUGUUUUAUGACAGUAGAUGUAUGUUGCCAGUUAAGUCUUUCAUUCGUAUUGGGCUAGCUGCAGAGGUGCAACAAGAGACUGAAAGUUCUUGGUGUUGACUGAAUGCUUUGAAGAAUGCAUUAGGUCCAUUCUGUAAUCAAUGGAUUGUAUGAAAACUAUAUUUAUUUAUAUUUGCUUGUUGUUGGUUGUUGUUGCUUCUUGCUAUUUUUGCCAGUGGUGAAUGGUAAGAUUUUUCUCAGGGUCUCUAUUGUAUUUUGAUUGCUGUAUUAAUGAAGUAAAGAGUAUUAAAGUAAAUAAUAAGUCACACUAGUCUCACUAGGAAUUUGAACUCAUAUUUGUGGUAGGAAAUUAAUCUGGUUUUAAUUGCCCACGAGUCUGAAGUAUGUUCCUUUUUGUAAAGCUGAUCUCACAUAAAGAUAAAUCAGUAACUGGCAGUUCUUUAAUUAUGUAUUACAGUAUUGUACCUGCAUACUAGAUGAGAAUGUGAGCAUCUCAAGUUACGGUGUAUUGGAGGUCAUUAAAUCUUCCCUGCUUUAUGAAGUUUAGUAGCACUACAUUUCUAAUUACUGAAAAAUGCAUGUUUGUGCAGCUGGUUUUAGAGUGGCUAUGUUUAGCUACAGAAAGACACUCGCUCACUUUGUAAGUAACUCCAUAGGGAUUUUGACAGCAUGGAGUACUAUUGUCAUAAAACAAUUGCCAAAAAGUUACAACAGUAUUUUUAGAAAACUGUCAUUGCAAAUAAUUUUGAGAUAUUCUAAUGUAAAAUCAGAAGGCAUACCAUAAUUACUGCAGGGUAGUUUUUUGUGUUUCAGAUAUACAUGACUGAAUUAUACAGUGAUCCAAAAAAUACUGUGUUAAUAUAAGGAAAAGAUAAUUUAUGUGAAUUGUAUUAUCAAUAGCAGCCUGUGUUCUUCCCUCACCACUUUACACCUACCUUUCUGUUGUGGUUUGACCUGGCAGGUAGCAAGUACCAUACAGUCAUUUGCUUGCUCCCGCUUAAGUAGUCAGAUGGGGUAGGAAUCAAAAAGAAAACAACUUGUGGGUACAGGUGAAACUAUUUACUAAUACAGAGGAGGAAAAGUAUAAUAGUUAUGAUGAUAUGUCAUAUAUAUAUAUAUAUACGACUGUAUACAAGUGAUGGGCAUGCAACUGCUUAUCACUCACUGUCUGAUGCCCAGCUAGCCCCCCAGCAAGUGGAUAACCAGAUGAACUCCUAUUUCCUUCAAAACUCUCGUUCUGUGUAUUAUCAUAUAGUAUGGGAUAUCCUUUUGACCAGUUGAAGUCCACUGUCCUAAUUCUGUUACCUUCCCAGUUCCUUGGCCCGUUUCCUGAAAAUUACUUCGAUUCUGUACAGCAUUGCUUAGCAACAACUGUAAACAUCUGUGUAUUAUCAGCAUUGAUUUUUGUCCUAGAAUAAAAACAUAGCAUCUUACCAAACACUCAAUGAAAAUAAUUCUAUUUCAGCUGAAACUAAGACGCUUAUCUCUUCUUCAAUGGGGGGAGGUGGGUGGCGUUAUUUAUGCUAAAAAUGCUGUGGAAUUUAUGUAUGGGGCCAAGGACUUUCAGAACCUAUCUUUCAUUUUCUUUAGGUUGUCAGUUGUUAGUCUUAGGUGUACAAAACCUUACUACUUUCCAAGCAGUGACUGCAGUGGUUGUUAGUGAAGAUUAAAAUGUGUUUAUGGAUUAGUGCCAUACUGCAAGUAUCACUAUGAUGUAGAGGAGGAUUUUGAGUUUCUUCCUGAAAGGCAUCACAAGUCAAGGUGGAUGUUAUCUGAGUUCUGGUGAUGUUUUAACUGCUUCCUGCCCAGUAUUUGUGACUUCUUCAAAUCCAAGUAAAUCUUCAUGUAACUCAGGCAGGUUGUGGUUGACAAACACAGUAAAAAAAAAAAAA